rnacentral:rRNA from 1 species
UACGUAGGUGACAAGCGUUGUCCGGAUUUACUGGGCGUAAAGAGCGCGCAGGCGGUCGAUCAAGUCGAGUGUGAAAGCCCCCGGCUCAACUGGGGAGGGUCAUUCGAUACUGGGGAGCUUGAGUACAGAAGAGGAGAGUGGAAUUCCAUGUGUAGCGGUGAAAUGCGUAGAUAUAUGGAGGAACACCAGUGGCGAAGGCGGCUCUCUGGUCUGUAACUGACGCUGAGGCGCGAAAGCGUGGGGAGCAAACAGG